GGGGAGAAGAAGGGAGUGAGAGGAAAGGAGGAGCAGAUGGUGAAGACGCCGAGGAAGCAUCUCCAGUUGCAAAGAAGCCUCGAAUUACGCUUAACCAUCUUGUCACUGAGGAUGAUACUCAAGAAGAGGAGACUGCUUGAUGGAAGAUGAAAGGAGCGUGAAAUCAUCGGUGACAAACAUACCAUUCGAAACUCGAAUAACGUUUUAGCCAAAGGAACCUAUGCUAACUGCUUGUUUUUUUUGUACGCUGCUGGAAAUUAUGUACUUUACAACUGAUAACAACGUAUGACCAAUGUUCUCAAAGCUCAACAACCCAAGCUUUUGUAUCCAUCAAUAUACACAUUGAAAUGUCGUAUUAACAUUGAAGAUUACAAAAUGCCGG
rnacentral:lncRNA from 1 species